rnacentral:tRNA from 1 species
AGUUAAUGAACUUGUAAUAAGUAUAUAUUUUGAAAAUAUAAAAAAGGGUUAAAUUCCCUAUUAACUU